ensembl:lncRNA
CUUGCUGACAAUGCAGGUUCUGAUUCAGCAGCUGUGCAGUGCGGAGCUGAGAUUCCGAAUUUCGAAUGAGGCCUCAGGUGGUACCAGUGCUGCUGGUCCAUGAACCACACCUGGCAUCAAAGGGCCUAGGAACUGCUCCUUGGCCUUCUUGUAGAGAACCUGUGUGGAGAUGUUGCAGGAUGUCACCUCUGCUUUACUGCUAGCCAAAUAGCACCACAGGGCUGUCCUUGGCUUUGUUCAGCCCCACAGCGGACUUGACCUAGGGUUUUCUGACCACCAUCAGAUGAGCCUUGGCUUGAGGGAAUUUCCCAGCAGCUCAGGACCAGGUCUGGCAGUUUACAAUUAUUAGAGAAGUUCCGUGUAAGAAGGGUGGACGGCCUCCAAAACAACAGAGUUCAAGAGAGUAAAGAACAGAAGAGGAAAUGCUGUAUCAAUAAGAAUUACAUAAACAGAUGAACUUCUUUCUCCAGCACAGAAUUCAUAAAAUGUGCACAAACUCUGUCGGGUAUAGACGAAAGUCCAGUCUGAGUCACGACACUACAGAGAACGACGGCUGUGGCCACACUGGCUGAGAAGGUAGAAAGAGAAUGUGACCAUGCUGCCAGCACUAUGGGCAAAUACGAUCUACAGCAUGAAUCCUGAAUCUCAGACCGCUGUUGGAGUCUAUUACCCACUAUAUUAUUUCCCUGGUAUUUGACAAAAGUGAGAAGGGAUGAUGAAAAUUUUGGCAGACUUUAUCAAAGGCUGAUCAAUAUUUUCCAUUUCCCCAUUUAUGUGCCACUGCAAUUCACCAGCCAAGAGGACAAGUUAAGCGGAUACAGCAUGAGAGAGAAAGCCAAACAGACCAAUAAGUCAAGGUAAAAAGAGAAGGAAAAAACUAAUGGGAAGAAGCUGGAGGAAGGAUUAGAAGCAGAACAAGCAGCAGCUCAUAAAGAAGCUUGUGAAUUGACCACGACACAUGCAACGAAGGUGACAGAGUGAGUGAGAAAGUACCCCAUGAACACCCAGCACUUGCCCAGCAUUGUCGGUCUCAGUCUCCAUGUCACCGUCACCAAUUCCUGGUGCCCUGGAAAGCAGAGGCUUCAGGUCCCAGACUUAACACCAAGAGGAGGCCUAGAAGAGAGCUUUGGAACUAUAGCCAAUUUCAACAUCCACUCACUCCCUCUAAGAUCUGUCUUGGUAGGCUGCAGGCUGCUCAUCAGAGCUGAUGUUGACAGCUCAGGCUCUAGGCUCCUGGACACCGCUAAGUUUUGGUGCCUUGCUUCCUGGGUCCCCACUCAUCCCUAAGGACGUGCGAGUUGGCAGUAAUGGAACAAAGCUGUGCAGAUCUAGGGGCAAAGUCAAAUCUUAGCCAGGUGAAUUACCAGCCCCUACCUACCGCCUAGCAUGCUCUGGCAGGUUAGGAUGAGGAGACUGUAUCGCAGUCCAUUGCUAAGUUUCUUCAACUAAAUUAAACAGAGACUGGGGAUGGUACAGAUUUAAGAACAUCAAAACCAAACCAUCACACCAAGGAAGCAGGAAACAGCCAGAAGGCCAGAAUUACAAACGUGGAUGUUAGAAUUCAUCAGAAGCCAAAAGAACAAUAAAGAAUGAGGUCAGGAAUGCUGAAGAUCCAAGUUGGUGUUCCUAGAGAGGAAAGAAUUAGGAGCAGUCACUAAGGAUCUAGCUUCUUACACAGAUGGGAGACUAUGGAGACAGAACUCCAACAAGAAUAGUUCCUGUGUCUCGAAAGGACCUGGCUGCAUCUGCUGAAGUCUCCUACACUUGAUUCUUCCUCAUGAGUUUACUCCAUGGGCCAUUCAAUCUGCUUGUUUUCCCACACAACUGGGUCAGAGUGGAUAUUUACUACAUUUGCUUCUGGAACACCCACAGGCCGCAUCUGGCACAUAGCCCCCAUCGACAUGUAAUAAACUAAUGACCCAAAGCAAGAGGACAGCCUUCUGUGAAGCUCCAGUGGACAUGGCCAUGUGGACAAAGAAGGGCCAUCAGAUGAGUCUUUGGCCUAAUGAGACAUACAUUUGAUGAGGGUCACCUCUAGGAAGGGCAAGGGAAAAUAUGGGACCGGGGCAUCCAAAAGACUUUUAAUUUUAUCUAUGAUGCUUUAUUUUAUUUAAAAAAAUAAAAUUGGGGGUUUAAAAUGUAAUUAUAAAUUUUGUGUGGUGGAAAUAAAUUGUUAUAUAAUGCCC